AACGAACGCUGGCGGCAGGCUUAACACAUGCAAGUCGAACGGCUGUAGCAAUACAGCAGUGGCAGACGGGUGAGUAACACGUGGGAACCUUCCUAGGGGUACGGAACAACUCAGGGAAACUUGAGCUAAUACCGUAUACGUCCGAAAGGAGACAGAUUUAUCGCCCUUAGACGGGCCCGCGUCGGAUUAGCUAGUUGGUGGGGUAACGGCCUACCAAGGCGACGAUCCGUAGCGGAUCUGAGAGGAUGAUCAGCCACACUGGGACUGAGACACGGCCCAGACUCCUACGGGAGGCAGCAGUGGGGAAUCUUGGACAAUGGGCGCAAGCCUGAUCCAGCCAUGCCGCGUGAGUGAAGAAGGCCUUAGGGUUGUAAAGCUCUUUUGGCAGGGACGAUAAUGACGGUACCUGCAGAAUAAGCCCCGGCAAACUUCGUGCCAGCAGCCGCAGUAAAAC
rnacentral:rRNA from 1 species